AACGAACGCUGGCGGCAUGCCUAACACAUGCAAGUCGAACGGGCCCUUCGGGGUUAGUGGCGCACGGGUGCGUAACGCGUGGGAAUCUGCCCAAAGGUUCGGAAUAACUCGGGGAAACCCGAGCUAAUACCGGAUAAUGUCUUCGGACCAAAGAUUUAUCGCCUUUGGAUGAGCCCGCGUCGGAUUAGCUAGUUGGUAGGGUAAAAGCCUACCAAGGCAACGAUCCGUAGCUGGUCUGAGAGGAUGAUCAGCCACACUGGGACUGAGACACGGCCCAGACUCCUACGGGAGGCAGCAAUGGGGAAUAUUGGACAAUGGGCGAAAGCCUGAUCCAGCAAUGCCGCGUGAGUGAUGAAGGCCUUAGGGUUGUAAAGCUCUUUUACCCGGGAUGAUAAUGACAGUACCGGGAGAAUAAGCUCCGGCUAACUCCGUGCCAGCAGCCGCGGUAAUACGGAGGGAGCUAGCGUUGUUCGGAAUUACUGGGCGUAAAGCGCGCGUAGGCGGCUUUGUAAGUUAGG
rnacentral:rRNA from 1 species